GAGACACCCUUAUGGGGCAGGACUUGCUUCAGUGGGGCUUUGGUGCUCACUGAGUCUUCCCCUUGAUAUGUUACU
rnacentral:pre_miRNA from 1 species